rnacentral:lncRNA from 1 species
UAAACAUUAAUUUAAUUAACUAACUAUGAGGAUCAUUGAGUCUAUUCUUGAUAUGUUCAGCAGCAUCAGCAGCCUCAACUUGUUUCUUUGUAGCCUCAAGUUCAGCUUCACUUGCUUCCUUCUCAUUUUUUGCAGUUAUAGUCUUUGCCUAUUUUUUCACACCAAACAAGGAAAAUUCAAAAUAACACUAAUAUUGAAAUAAGUAGUAGCUAAAAAUGGAAAGGGGUUGUUUUUGGAUAUUGAAUUAAUUACCUGACCUACAAAGAAGGCUUUUGCAUAUCUAAAAGUUUCUUGUAUAGAAACGGCAAAAGAUAAGCAACUAAUCUUCAAACGAGUACCAAAAGAAGUUUUCUUGUGAUUUGGCAAAGAUGUUGAAGAUGAAGAAUCCGUCUCUUCCAUAACUAUUUUUAUUGCCUUGUAGAGAUGAAAUAUAUAUCACUUGUGUGUGUGUUUAGAGACAACAACAUGAACAUACUAAAUUUGUAACAUUGUCCUUCUUUUAUAGAUAAAUAAACUAAUAAAAAGAUAAUCUAUGAAGACUUAAAGGUGUCUGGAAGAUGCUCUCUAACCAUCUAGCAACUGUUCAGAGCCAUCUCAAAUCUCACAGAAUAUCUUCAAUGACAAUUAAC